GACCUUGCUUCCUAGCCAGUACUUAAUCACGCUUGAAUCAUUGUGCAAUCCUUCCAAUUUUAAUUUUAGAGCCAUCAACAAUUCUCUUAGUCCCGUCUAUUGCAACCGCAGACAUAUCUGGUACAGCGCUUUAUGCACCUCGCAGCUUCUUACUAACAGUGGAUCUUGAAUUCUGCACCUUUUCACUGGUAGACACAAAGGCGCCCUGAAAUACUUGUAACACUCUUCUCCUCCUUAACUCCAACAACUCCAUCAAUCAAUGACCAAGCAACACACUGCUCCUUUUUGAUUGCAGUACACUGAAGCAGAGCCACCCCCACUAAUGGACAAGUUGAACUUGUCUCCAUUAAAUGCAACGUGAAUUCUCCUUCUCCGUCUUCUGAUUUCCAACUCAUUCACCUACUCACUCCAAACGACAAGCGGAGAGAGGAGGGACCUCCAAAUUUUUCCUUCCGCAUUCACAGUGCAACUGCAGAUAAUCUCCUAAACCAACCACAACUUCCAAGACACUAGAGCCCAACAAUGAGAGUUCCAACAUACACAACUAACUCAACCCUUAUCUCUGGUCUUGCAUCUCUUGCACAACUCCAAAUCUAAAUGUAGUUCAUAGAGACAACCUCACGCAAGCUUGACUUGCCAUUGAAUAAGCCUUAUAUUAUGUCGCUUAUUGGAGGCCUACAACUUCCACUAUAUCAAUGGGCCACAUCAGUCGACCUCAAAUACAAAUGCAUAAAUGCCACACGGGAAGGAUUAUGCAUCAAAAACCAACAGAUUGAUGCGCUAGGUCCCUGGUUCUACCUUGUAACAAUUCCAAACACUACAUUAAAUCCCUCAUUCAGCUAGCAAAAUAGAACGCACACAGGCAUUGUCUCACAUUCGCUCCGCCAGAUUUCAGUAGCAUCAACAGCCGAUCGACAACAAAAACCACCCUAGUAAACACACACACUCACACCACAUUUGCAUCAGAAGAGAACUGAGUUCUAAUAAGCCACCACGGACGGAACCAAUGCUAGAGAGGAGAUAAGAUUUGAAGCUAUAAUCCAACAC
rnacentral:lncRNA from 1 species